CACGCUAAUUGGAUAGUACGUAACGCUGUCAGCGUGUCGCCUACCAGUUGUACGCGUUACCGGCGUGGCCCAACGUCUCACUGUCAACAUAUUCACGUACAUAUACAAGAAGCCGGUAGCCAGAACGAUAAUAUUGUUCUAUUAUCUAAUACAACGCGCCAAACGAUAUGUCGAUCUACUAUGUGCUUUGUGAGGACUUUUUCACCGAUCAAAGUCGAAUUCAAUAGCGAUUAAAUGCGUAAUUGCAUAACCACGACCGUAGAUAUGUAUGAAAAUCAUGGUAUGUAUAAAUAAAUUAAAUUAAGAAGCAUUUUGAUCUUGAAAAUAAAUGCGUGUACAGCUAUAGGUAUAUAUCUAUUGUCUAAUUACGAUACACUAUUAUCGCUCGUAUCUUUUGUGCAGAUUACGAAUACUAAAUGAAUUGUUUUAUUGUGACGUAUAAUCGUAAAUAUUUGAGGUCAGCUUUGUCGAAGAUACAUGCACUUUUCGUUUCCUCGAGAUAAACGAGACCGAUUCUUUCUUUCCGCGUAAUUAGUUGUUCAAGAUUAUUAUUGGAAACUUUGAACUGUAUGUAUUCUGCUCUCUCUCUCUCUCUCUCUCUCUCUCUCUCUCUCUCUCUGUCUCUCUCUGUGUGCAUGCAGUUUCCAUUCUUCGCCUAAUCAAAUAAAAGAAAUAUUUAUUAUAUUAUUAUUAUGAUUUUGAUUUAUAAAUGGGAAUUCAUACACGUAAAAGUCUACAACUCUAGAAGCAUUAUUACUGUGUCAUUAUGAAUGUACACCUGAAUAAUGGAAAGAGAAAUAUUCGUUAAUUAAAUCAUUCACUUUGUUGACUCAAUGUCAAUUUUUUAUCUCCCGGUUCUGUGACGGUACAAAUUGAAGCAAACUUUUCGGAAAAUCGCCAUUUACCGAGUACGGGAAUCAGUACCUAUACGUGUUUUCUCACGUAAAUAAUUAAUUGACUACGAAACUUUACCACAUACAUUUAAACUUAAAUGCGGUUUAAAUUUAAAUUAUUGGCAUUCUCGCGUAAUUAAUUGUGAAAUUAAAUUCUCGAAUUUGCUUGAUCAUUUGUAACGACGUUGUAAUUAGAUAUUACAUCAAUUAACGCUAAAUGUACCAACAGUUUUUGUAUGUUUGUGCUAUAUUUAUAUCUUUAUACAUUUGAGUGCAAUUUACUGUUGCAUCGGCACUUCAGUUUGAUACUAGUUUAAAUAAUAAUUUCAACUUUAGCAAUAUGAGCAAACAAUUUCGUGUUCUAUUUAUUUUUUAUAAAAGAAUAUAGGAACGGUCAUUUGGUUAAUCAACGAUUCAUAUUGCCUAAUUUAUAAUCUUUCUUUAGUAAAAUAUAAUUUAAAAUAGACCGGUUACUACAGAGCAUCCAGAAUUCUCUACUGAAAUAUUGCUUCGCUAAGUAGCCAAGGAAAAAAGGCGUUAUCACCACGUUAUCAUCACGUGCUGAUGUUAGUUAAUAAGCUAGACUAUAAGGAGGAAAAUUGGCACGCGUCGCGCACGCGGCUCACGUCUUACUUCAAUGAAUAAAUUUAAGUCAUACACAUAGUAAGAUGUUUUUUACGCAAGAUCCGCUCAAUAAUAAAUGAUAUAAAUUAUUUAUUUUAAAGAAAUCAAAUCAGAAAAUAUAUAUGUUUGUAGUACUUUUCCAGUCGACUUUUUAGUCUAUCUCUACACACUGUUUACAUCGUGUUGUUACUUUUCUUAUAUCGCUGAGAAAAAAGUUCGCCGCCAUGUAGUGACGUUUUUCUUAAGUAAACCUCAAAAUUCAAGGUUACUUUCAAAUUAAGAACAAAAUUAAUUUAGUGUACGGAGAAUCCUUGUACGAAAUCUUGAAUAGUUAUUAGUAUUAUAUUAGUCCGCAUAGUUAAUGAGAAAUCAUUAAUAACAGUUCAUGUAUUUUAAGACGAGGACGUAUGACUCCGAAAAAUAAAGGUUUUAGUUUUACUUUUUCCUCUAAAAUGAGGAAACUAUAUUCAAGAACAAUAUCAAAAUUUACACAAAAUUAUUUCACAAUAUUAUAAAGUCGAUUCAUCAAUUUCUCUAAGAUUGACCACAUAUUGACACACAAACAGAAUAAUAUAUGUAUAUGCCAUAGAGUAUAUGGUAUAUGUUCUAAAAGAUAUGUACGUAUUCAUACCAUACAAAUCGAAAAGUGAAAUAAUUGUUUAAGUAGGUUUUAUAAGACAGAAUGCCUUAUGAAUAUAAAAAUUACUUUCUGUGUUAAAUAAUAACUAAUCAGGAACACUAA